rnacentral:tRNA from 1 species
CGGGGCCGGGGGCCGGAGCCGGCGCCACGCGCUGAGGCCGGGUGCCGGGCCCCGGUGGUUCGGGGCCGGGUCCCGAGUCCGGUGGUCCCGA